UACAAUAAAGAGUUAUAAAGUUGGAGUGAGACGGUUAAAUAAUAAUAAAAAAAAUAAGUAGGUAAAUAGAUGAAUAAAUAAAGCAAGAACACAAAGGAUCCAGACUUGGACACAACAGGUUUAUUAAAGGGUAAAUCAGAUGACACCGUGGUCAUUUUAAUAAUAAGAUUUUAUAAUUUUAUAACUUUGUCACAUAACUGACAAUUUGAGUUUCCUCAAAUGAGUGAAACAGCGCCCCUCUGGGUUGUAACGGCUGGUGAAUGUCUGCCAGUCUGUGCGGUCAAACGAGGCGUUGCACCCUCAUGGUAUGGAGGUGUUGCGAAGAAAACAAAGUGAAGUUGCAUCUUUUCAUUAUAAAAUAGUACGUGGAUGCGGUCACUGUCAAGCUGCUGAUAAACCGAGAAUGGACAGGUGUCUGAAAAAGAAACCCUGAAGUGAAUUGUGAAGCCAGUUAAACUCACUACAAACAAUACAGUUAAAAACGGUAUUUAAAUGAAACAACACAGGAGAGUUAGCUUGUUCCCAGUGUUGCUAAUCCUGCUAGCUAAGUGUUUUUGAAGGGCUAAGCUAGCAGCAGAUGGAGAGAGGAGUUCUGCAGUGGGACGUUAUAUGAUGUGGACACUUCAUCUCAAAUCAAAUAACGCCCGAUCCAAGACCAUCAUACUAUGAAUCAUUAUCAUGCAAAAUCAAAGAUGGCAGUGGAUUUCUUCCCCGGCCCCUGAGAGUGCGUCUCAGCAGCAACUUGACACUAUCCAAGCUGCACCAACGCUGUGAUCCCACCGGCUGUACAUUAUCAGAACAACUUGUCAUUAAUAUCCCUGUCAAGCCUGCGUUGCAUACCAUUGCAAUCAGAAAAAGAGACUUGGACAAACUGACGGACAGGACGGACAGACAGGUUUAAAGGUUUCAGUCCUCCUGCCUGCUGCUGAUGAUAAAGGCAGUAAACCAUCAUGGCUCCAGUGUUAUCAGACACACACCUUUGGAUUAGAGCGGCUACACCUGCUGCUGCUGCUGCUGCUGCUCACACACUGACCUCAGCUCGGAGGAAUUGAAUCCGCCUGCCAACAAACACCUGCUCACCUGCCAUCUGCCCUGUAUGGGCAUCUGUGAUUAGUGUGUGUUUGUGUGUGUAGGCGUGUGGGUGUAGAUGGGUGUGGGCUGGUCGGAAUGGUGGCUUUGGAUUAUUGUGUGCUUGCAUCUUUGUGUGUGAACUUGCGCCCUAUGAUUUUUAUGUGUGUUAGAGGAGGUUUGUGUUUGUGUGUGUGUGUGUGUGUGUGUGUGUGUAUGAGUGGACAUGGAUUAUGAAUGCUUUUGCCGUGUCCCAAUUCCAGACUACAUACUGAUUCUAAGCAGGUUUUUAGUAUGUAAUGUGUUUACACUAGAAUAGUGACAAAAUAAAGUAUAAAACAGCCAGUAUGCAUACUAAAUACAGUCUCCCACAAUGCAGUGCUCAAAGGAAAUGGAGGGGCUGCUCACGGCUGAAAAAGAAAUUGUGGGUAGUGGUGAAACAACUCCAAAAAAAUCAAGUAUUAAAUCAUAAGAAAAACAUUUGAUGUCUAUUUGUGAUGUUUAAUUAGCAGUGAUAUUCCAAAGUUGCAGUCUGAUUGAUAUCUGUGACGCUUAGUAUGUAAUACAUACUGUAUAGAAUUAGUAUGUAGUAUGUAUUUGGGACACAGCUCAUGUCUUAUUUGAAGUGUUUCAUUGAACCUAUCUGGCUCUUAAUUAUGCUGUGACAUUCUCUACACCUUCUCUUGUGGUCCUGCAUUCAUGUAUUUUGCUUUUAAAAGACAAAUUAUAUAUUUUGUCCCUU